GCAGCAACAGAAGUUCCAUUACAUAAAGUCAAAAUGUGGAUUUAGAAACCAAAAAAUGGUUUCAGAAAUGCAUCUUCUUUAUGUAAUCAGAAAAAAGAAAAAAACAAUUCUGGAGAAGCAGAAGGGCAAUAAGCCCAGCUGAAACAGUAUUCAUGUAACACCUGAUGAUGAAAGACAUCACACAGCUGUGCAAGGGACACAAAGGGAUAAAUGAGCGGGAAGAAGCUUGGACUUGUUGGGAUCAGUCAUAGACUCAAUUUGGGAUCCCCUAUUGAAGCUGAAUGUAGGACCACCUUGAAGGCUGCUGCUAUACACAAAAGAGCCACACCAAAUUUUGGUAAUUUUUGAGUGUUGAAAGAGUUUCUCUAAACUAUUGUGGAUGUGUGUGAAUGAGAGCUUAUUGUACUGUUUGUGCUACCCAUCUAUUAUUUGGAUGACCUUGUCUCCACUGAUUUAUUUCUUCAAAGGGAGUAAAGUUACAAAGAAUUUGGAAGAAUCCCAGGUAAUAUCAUCAAUGUAGAGAUUGUCUAUAUUAAAAUGUUACAGCUGUGCAGCUGUGCCAUUUAAAGUGUAGACAACCUCUUAAAGUAUGUUUAGAGCACUUCAUUGACUAUCCCCACUCCAUUUGACUUUCUCUUUCCUGCAAAUACAGCCAGUAUUGACAGCAAAAUUAUAAAACGUCCCAAGAACCUCCAUCACACAUUCUGUCGUUGCUCUGUUUAUUCAUAGGAGGAGCUCAUUUUAAAUAUCCACAAAGCCAUUUCCCUGUCCUGCUUCGUAUACCAUCCUUAAAACUCUUAUCUGCUGUGGUGCCUAUAAAACACCCUGAUCAAUGGUAAGGCAGCUGGCUUCCCGUGAACACUGUUUCUUGUGCUGACUAGUAUAGUUCCAUUCUUUCUUUGUGUGCCACUCCAACAGUUUUAGUCGCCUGUUGUCUUACACUUAGACUGUAAUCUGUUCAGACCAGAGCCUAUGUGUUACAUAUCUGUACAGUGCAAGUAACCUAAAUAUAUAAAUGAAUAAUAAUAAUGCCAACAGCAACUUUAAACAAAUGAGCAAUCCUAAUGAAGUGGUUUCCUGAACUGAAGCUUUUAUACUCAUCUAAUAGGUCACACUGAGGAAUUUCAAAAAAAUGUAUCAUCCACAGAAUAGAUUCAUGAUGGAAAACGAUGAUGCAAGUUUCUAAUCACUGACAUGCAAAUGUGCCUUACUGCUGACUUGGAGAAAUCAGCAUAAAUUCAUUCUUAGUGUCCUUUCUGCUGAGGCUAUCAGCAUUGCCAACUUGUGCCAAACAUGAUGGCUCCCUUUUGAAUAGACACUUAUGUGAUUGGAAAUGGACUGAAACCAUACAUUCCCUUAACAAUAGGCCUACAAACAAUAACUGGAGGGAGAGGACUGUCACACAUUACUAACCUAUUUUUGUUUCAAGUUGAAGAUUUAGGGCCUCAUCCAAAAUCAACUGAAAGCAGUGGAAAAUCUCCCAUAACAUCAAUGACUUUUGGAUCAGAUCCUUAGAAAUAUAUUGAAUGUACCAAUGUUUAAGCACCUCAAAGAAAUAAGGAAGUGGUUGCUAAACACUCACCCAGAGAAAUGUUAGGAACUAUUUUAUUAUUGCAAAAAACAAAUCUAUUCUCUGUCAUGUCAUAAAGAGAUGGCCAAACUAUUUUUUUAAAUAUUGGCUUUCUUUAUGGCUAUAGAGUAAUAAAAAGGAGUCUUUUGGAACACAUUCUGUAUCCCAAGAGGUCCAAUUUUCAGAUUCAUGGCAGUUUUCCUUUUCUAAGACUCAGCUUUCUUGUGUGUACAAGUCCCUUUAGCAUAUCAUGUGGCAUUUCCUAACCUUUAAUAGUAAGCUUAAGGGCUGUAAAAAAUUAUUUCACUCUUCUGUGUUUUAUAAAAAUGCUAAAAUCUUUCAAAAAGAAAUCUUGUAAUUCUAACUCUUUUUAAAGGGUACUUAGAAUGUUGCUUGGUUAUUAGUAUAUUAUUCACUUGAAACACACAAAACAGCCUUCCAGUAUUUCUCAUAAAUUAGAAUAUUUUUUUUAAUUUAAGAAGUCUAACAGCAUGACAUAGUCUAGAAAUAAUUCUGCUAAAUAUUUGAUUUUUAAUAGAACAACAGUAAUAUUUUGAACUAAGCAUAAAUGAUAGUGCUGGUCCCGGAAGUGAAAGGACCUAAGGCAAAAUUUGCCUGGCAGAAGAGCGUUGGCUCAAGGUUCUCUACACCCUUUAAACUCUUCAUAGAGGCUACUAGCUGAGCAGCUAUACAGAAAUGUUUAUGCUUCCAUUGCAUGCUGCAGAACUGGUUUUAAUUCCAUCUCCAUAUUGGAGACAGGAGAAGCAUGGCCCAAGGAGAGUUUCUGCAGAUCUGUGUUUCUGCUGAGGCCACGGUGCCCUUGGCAACUGAUACAAGAGAGGUUGAGGCUGUGAAUACAACUUGCUGACUGAAGCAACAUCAUAGCUUCUCUCACUAA